rnacentral:rRNA from 1 species
GCGGCGGACGGGUGAGUAACACGUAGGCAACCUGCCCUCAAGUUUGGGACAACUACCGGAAACGGUAGCUAAUACCGAAUAAUUGUUUUCUUCUCCUGAAGGAAACUGGAAAGACGGAGCAAUCUGUCACUUGGGGAUGGGCCUGCGGCGCAUUAGCUAGUUGGUGAGGUAACGGCUCACCAAGGCGACGAUGCGUAGCCGACCUGAGAGGGUGAUCGGCCACACUGGGACUGAGACACGGCCCAGACUCCUACGGGAGGCAGCAGUAGGGAAUCUUCCGCAAUGGGCGAAAGCCUGACGGAGCAAUGCCGCGUGAGUGAUGAAGGUUUUCGGAUCGUAAAGCUCUGUUGCCAGGGAAGAACGCUUGGGAGAGUAACUGCUCUCAAGGUGACGGUACCUGAGAAGAAAGCCCCGGCUAACUACGUGCCAGCAGCCGCGGUAAUACGUAGGGGGCAAGCGUUGUCCGGAAUUAUUGGGCGUAAAGCGCGCGCAGGCGGUCAUUUAAGUCUGGUGUUUAAUCCCGGGGCUCAACCCCGGAUCGCACUGGAAACUGGGUGACUUGAGUGCAGAAGAGGAGAGUGGAAUUCCACGUGUAGCGGUGAAAU